rnacentral:rRNA from 1 species
AGCGAACGCUGGCGGCAGGCUUAACACAUGCAAGUCGAGCGCUCGUAGCAAUACGGGAGCGGCAGACGGGUGAGUAACACGUGGGAACGUACCUUUUGGUUCGGAACAACAUAGGGAAACUUGUGCUAAUACCGGAUAAGCCCUUACGGGGAAAGGAUUAUCGCCGAAAGAUCGGCCCGCGUCUGAUUAGCUAGUUGGUGAGGUAACGGCUCACCAAGGCGACGAUCAGUAGCUGGUCNGAGAGGAUGAUCAGCCACAUUGGGACUGAGACACGG